AACGAACGCUGGCGGCAGGCUUAACACAUGCAAGUCGAACGCACCGCAAGGUGAGUGGCAGACGGGUGAGUAACACGUGGGGAUCUGCCCAAUGGUACGGAAUAGCUCCGGGAAACUGGAAUUAAUACCGUAUGAGCCCGCAAGGGGAAAGAUUUAUCGCCAUUGGAUCAACCCGCGUCGGAUUAGCUAGUUGGUGUGGUAAAGGCGCACCAAGGCGACGAUCCGUAGCUGGUCUGAGAGGAUGAUCAGCCACACUGGGACUGAGACACGGCCCAGACUCCUACGGGAGGCAGCAGUGGGGAAUAUUGCGCAAUGGGCGAAAGCCUGACGCAGCGACACCGCGUGAAGGAUGAAGGUCUUAGGAUCGUAAACUUCUUUUGCCAAUUCACAUGAAUUGGAGAAUAAGCAUCUGCUAACCACGUGCCAGCAGCCGCCGUAACAC
rnacentral:rRNA from 1 species